GUGAGAUAGCCUGACAUGUAAAAAAUUACAUAUGCAUUUAAAUAUGAUAUUAACAGGUGAACUUUAUGUAGCAUAAAAUGUAUUACUUUGCUCUUCAUCAGGCAUCUGAAGUCUUCUUUGACUGGGCCCAGCUGAUGCUAUUGGAUAAAAAUACAUUUAAGAAAUGUAAAUAAUAUGUGGUAUCAUACCAGUUACUACAAAAACGUUCCUUACGUUCUUGUGUCACUGGCUCGUGAUGCCUCUUCUCCUCAAAGACAGGAGCUUGAGGUCUGCUUUCAGCCAUGCUUUUGACCUUCCGCUGCUUUGCCGGGUUCCUCCAUGACUUUCAACAUUGGAGAGCUCCUCUGCACGCUUGAGCGUCACUAACAAGGUCGGCAACUUGUUUAGAGGAAGAUAAAGAAGCUUAAAGGAGUAAACAUCAUGAGGAUUGAUCAGAUGGAGGCCAGUAGCAGCUUAUAAUCUGUUCAAGUAGACACAUACCCACUCACAAAGCAUUCAAAAUGUGGAACGGCUUCUAUAAGAUGGUAUAGGCUUAAAAAAUAACUACUUACAUUUCCGUUUGUCACAAUCCAUGAUCUACACACAACAGCAACUGUCUUCUCAUUUAAAAAUUCGACCACGACGUAGGUAAUCAUCUAUAAAAAUUGUAUUUUGUUAUUAAAAGUAAAUUCUCUAUAAUUAAGGCAUAUGGGCAAUUGGCUGAAAUGAUAAACUUACAACUUACUUUUUUUCCACAUGUUCAGUCAUGAUUGCUUGGGAUUUAAGUUCAGAUUUCAGUACUCUUCAAAUUGUUGUCUUUCUUGCUUUGCCAACAUAUGAACCAACAAUGCGAGAGUCACAAGGAUCCAUGUAGAGGGGAGCAGUCUUGUCGUAGACCCUGCACAGGAGAGAUUGCUUUUCCAGCCCGUCUUCUUCAAUGACCUCAAAGAAUGUCUGCUCAACUCCAAAGAAGUUGCUUGGUCUGGUGCACUUGAUUGGUUUCUCCUGUAUUCUCAUCUGCAUGUUUUGCCCUUGAAGAAGCCUCUCUGUAACCUGAGCCAGUGGAUUUCUUCCAGAGUGAACCAUUCUCUUCAGUCUCUGAUUGAAGUUUUCAAAGGCAAAAGCACUGCACACAUCAAGACCAUCAAACUGUUUUGCAACAUCUGGUGGACAUUGUACACAAGGAAACCCUCUCCAUACAGUUCUCUGCACUGCAGUACAAAAUACUUCAGGAGGUCUCUCGCAAAUUGCCAGUGUUUUCUGGUGAGUCCUGGAUUAACAAGACUGCACAUGGCUGUAGAGAAGCACAUGAAAUUGUUGUACAGUUCUUGUUUAAGAAUUCCUCUAAAAACAAUUUUUCCUGUGUACAACAUCAGUUGUCUGUACUCUGUAG